rnacentral:rRNA from 1 species
GACAGAGGGUGCAAACGUUGUUCGGAAUUACUGGGCGUAAAGCGCGUGUAGGCUGCUCCGAAAGUCGGAUGUGAAAGCCCUGGGCUCAACCUAGGAAGUGCAUUCGAUACUGUGGAGCUGGAGUCCUGGAGAGGGAAGGCGGAAUUCUCGGUGUAGAGGUGAAAUUCGUAGAUAUCGAGAGGAACACCGGUGGCGAAGGCGGCCUUCUGGGACAGUGACUGACGCUGAGACGCGAAAGCGUGGGGAGCAAACAGG